rnacentral:rRNA from 1 species
GACGAACGCUGGCGGCGUGCUUAACACAUGCAAGUCGAACGGAAAGGCCCUGCUUUUGUGGGGUGCUCGAGUGGCGAACGGGUGAGUAACACGUGAGUAACCUGCCCUUGACUUUGGGAUAACUUCAGGAAACUGGGGCUAAUACCGGAUAGGAGCUCCUGCUGCAUGGUGGGGGUUGGAAAGUUUCGGCGGUUGGGGAUGGACUCGCGGCUUAUCAGCUGGUUGGUGGGGUAGUGGCUUACCAAGGCUUUGACGGGUAGCCGGCCUGAGAGGGGGACCGGCCACAUUGGGACUGAGAUACGGCCCAGACUCCUACGGGAGGCAGCAGUGGGGAAUAUUGCACAAUGGGCGGAAGCCUGAUGCAGCAACGCCGCGUGCGGGAUGACGGCCUUCGGGUUGCAAACCGCUUUCGCCUGUGACGAAGCGUGAGUGACGGUAAUGGGUAAAGAAGCACCGGCUAACUACGUG